GGAUAAUAAAAUAAAUGGAUAGGAAACUAGCUGACGUGACCUAAUGUUUUCAAUGGGCUGAUAGCGUGGUUGGAUGUCCCAACCUAGUUGAAAACCAAAUUCUCAAAAACGGCAUGUUUAGCAAUACUACAGCUAAACAGCUUAGUCAAAGAGCAAAUAAAUAUAACCACGUCAUUCUACGAUGAAAACUCUAAGUAUUCCCAGUCAAUUUUAGCAAAUAUUUCAAGCACUAAACAGUGAAAAAUACAUCACAAAUUUCGUUAAAAUUUGUGACGCCAAUUUCGUAGCUACAAAUGUAAAAAAAAAAUACAAAACAAAGACGAAAAACAUUUACCUUGAAUACUUUGUCGUGGCUUAGGCAUGUUUUAUGAUUUUAUGCAAUAAAAAUAAUUAACUUCGAGAACGAAUAUGUGCGUGUUGUUUAUGUAUAUAUUAAUUAUAUAUUCAUAUAAUUUAGUUAUUAUGCAGGUCUACCGAGAUUAUUUAAGCCGUGGAGCACACAGGUAUAGCUCAUUGCUUGCAGACCUUUAAGUUCACAACGUCUUCUCUCCUUUACAAUGCCGAGAUUAACAAAUAAUAGCUUAGCUGGCUUUAGUCUAAGUUCAACAAAUUCGUUGGAAUACUUCGUUGUUGAUGGCUGUUUCGUUUCCGUCCACCGUUGGUCAUUCUUCAGAGAGCAAUGUCUUAAUAUGUCGACGUCUCCUUGGUUAUUUUUCCCCAAGUUCCUCUACUGCUGUGAUUUCAGUGGUCGAAGCUUCGUCGUCCUCGACAGUUUGCUUUCCCGCUCCCUUGGUCGUUCCUGCCUCGCAGUGUUCCCUCGCUGGCUCUUCGGUUCGUCGUCUACUCGUCUGCUGCGGUGCCUAUAAGCAAUAGCUUUUUGUCGCCGAUUCCAUUGUUCUAUGCCACUGCUUUCCACUUCCAU